GGGGGCGCAACGGUUUCGACGGGGAGCAUUGCGGUUCACAAGGAGCGUGUCGAGUUUCCGCUCGUCAAACGGAACCCUUUGAUAGUUGCCAACGACAACUACGCUCUCGCGGCCUAAUUAAGUCCGCGCGUGUCGAUGAUGAGCCUUGAUUCACGGCGCUCAUCGAGACGACGUUGUAGUGGAUCAUCGGAUUCGAGGAUGUCUCGCGGCGGAUCCGAUUAUUAGCGAGGCUGGCCUGGACGCAGGGACGCCUUCUUCCUUAGCGGCCAGGCGAGAAAUCUAAAGAAGGAUACGCACGUAGCUGCCUUGGGGCCGGGUUUCUCGGACGCGGGUUCAAUUCCCGCCG
rnacentral:tmRNA from 1 species